AACGAACGCUGGCGGCAGGCUUAACACAUGCAAGUCGAACGCAUCCUUCGGGGUGAGUGGCAGACGGGUGAGUAACGCGUGGGAACGUGCCCUUCAGUUCGGGAUAACCCAGGGAAACUUGGGCUAAUACCGGAUACGUGCGAGAGCAGAAAGAUUUAUCGCUGAACGAUGGGCCCGCGUCUGAUUAGCUAGUUGGUGGGGUAAUGGCCCACCAAGGCGACGAUAAGUAGCUGGUCUGAGAGGAUGAUCAGCAACAUUAGAACUGAGACACGGCCCAAACUCCGUCGGAAGCCAGCAGUGGGAAUUAUUGGACAAUGGGCGCAAGCCUGAUCCGGCCAUGCCGCGUGAGUGAUGAAGGCCUUAGGGUUGUAAAGCUCUUUCGUCCGGGACGAUAAUGACGGUACCGGAAGAAGAAGCCCCGGCUAACUUCGUGCCAGCCGCCGCCGUAA
rnacentral:rRNA from 1 species